ensembl:lncRNA
GAAGUCGUUUCUGCUGUGAAAACGGUGCUCUGCGCAGUGCGCUGAGUUCCUGUCCUCGGAGGACUCCUAUUCGCCACUUGGAGUGCUCACAGGGUGCUGCGCCCUGGGCAGAGGCCCUGAGGGAGCUGCCUUUCUGCUCAGUGGUGCUCUGCAGCAGCAGUCACUGUAUUUUUGAUCACACCUCAUGAAGACACUCAGGAAAGAGGACUCCAGAGCUGCUUCAGAAAGUGGCCAGGACGAUGGGCACCCACUGCGUCUUUCGAUCACCUCGUGGACUUGGAGGCAGCGCUACAGAGGAGCGUGGGGCUGAGGCGGCUCACUGCCUGCCCCGUGGUGCGGGUUGUGCGAUGCCAGUGUGCAC